ACGGGUUAAGUUUUGAUAAACUUAAGGAACCCAAAUGAUUAGUGCAUACUUAAAGGACUACUUUGAACCUAGCUCAAACAUAAGAGACCAUUUUUUUCAUUUUCCCAUACUAUUAUUUUCAGCUCCUUUUAUUCAAUGCCUAUAUAAAGGGUCUCUAAUCAAUUUAUCUAUACAACAAUAGAAAACAAUUAGGUUAUCUACUUUCUCGAAUUUCAAGAAUUAACAUAUAUACAUACAUAUGGCACCUCAAAUAGAAUUUGUGAAGACUUUAAGUAGAGAUCUUGGACUUUCCUUUUUGGAAGGUAGAAAAAGAAGAUCUUCUUCUCCUUCUAGUCCACAAAGGGUUGCAGCUGAAGAAGUACCAAAACAAACUAAUUGUGUUUACAGAUAUCAUCAACAUUCUGAUAUUGUUCAGGUCAAUCCUGUUUCCGCUACCGAGGAAAGAGUUGUCAGCAGCAAUUAUCAAGUACAAUUUCAUGAGAGGAAAUCAGUUGCCUUGGCUUAUUAAUUUUGAUUAAUGUAUGAAACUUAUGUACUUAUUAAUGCUUAUUAAGUCUUAACUCAACUGAGCUUUUUAGUCGAACGUGUACUUUUUAUGUAGUUUCUACGUUCUUGUUUCCCUCAAAUUAACAAUUAACAAGGAGGAGAAAGAGAUUUUGGUGGUUGUAAUAUAUAUAUAUGACCACUUACCUAUUGGCUAUUCCCUUUAAGGAACUAUAUGCUUCUAUAUGUUACUAUAUAAGUUAGUUGGACUUUUCAUAAAUGGUAUCGAAUGCGUGUGGAAUUUUUCAAAAACAAUGCAUUUGUAAAAAAAUCCAAUAUGGGCGAAAUAAUUUUUGUUUGGAGAGUGUAAGCAAAACAGUUUAUAACUAAGCAAUGUCAAGUUUGGUGAAAGGUUGUUUCUUUAAUAAAUUUCUAUACCAAGAUAAAGUUGUAAGAUAAUUAUUUGUUUCAAUUCUUUGGUUGAAAUAUUGAGAUCAUCACUUACAGAGUUCUAAAGAAAGUUAAAACAUUUAUUUUAGCUUUGUAAGCUUUUUUCGAGUUAUUUUUUACUUAUAUCAAUUUUUUUUUUUUUUUUGUAGAAACAUUUCUUCUAACCCAAGAAAAUUAACGAGAACUUUGGUGAACAGAGUGUAACACAUAAUUUUGUCCCUCUCAAAAAUUAUUUUUUACAACUUUACCCCAUCUUAUCACGUACCUUCACCCGUGUGAUAAUCUAUUCACAAAAAGACAAAAAAUAAAUAAAUUCUCAACAAAUAACCACCUCUCUAAUUAAAAACAGAUACCUUACCCCCACAUACCCAUUCCACGUGCCUCUAUUCACCCCUUUAAUCACAUUUUUUUCCUUACCUCACAACAGAAUUCACGAAUGGCCAUUCCAAUAUAACGGCAAUACACAUCACCCUCACUGGAAAUUAUCAUAGCUUCACUCAUAUGGGGGAUUUUCAUAUACACAGAUUCAUUCUCACACAAAGAACACACAAUUAAGCGCAGCAACAGAAAAGCGAACUGAUCGAUUGGGUACACCAUUACAACAUACACACACCGACUGAAACAGAUACAAAUAGAAAAAUCGGGUGAGGCAGAAAACAAGGAGAACAAGUGAGGUAAAUAGUAGGUAAAUCGUGAGAGGAGGGGGAGAGAUGAGUCUUUCCGGCGAAUUUUUGCCGGAAGAUGCCAUAAACACCACCAGCUCCGGCAUCAUCGAUUCCCACCGAAAAAAACAACAACGACCAGCAAACCACCGCCAAAAAAUUAAAAUCAACCAACUAAAACCAACCCUUCACCGGAAAUUUGCUGAAAAUUGUCAUCGUUGUCACUGUUCUAGCAGCAGUAACUCACCGAAAAAGUGACCAAAUGUUCCACCAGGGACCAAGCAAUCGAGUCUAAGCGAAUCAGAGUUCGGGAUCAAAGUUAUUGAUCUGGGUUCAUUUUGAGGUUUUGAUUUGAGGUUCCAGCGCGAACUCCAUCUCAUUUAAUGGAAUAAUACUUCAUUGAAAGCGACUUCUUUCUUCUUUAUCUUUUAAUUCUUAUGUAAUUAUGAAUCUGUGAUUCGAUAUUAUUAUUUUAUUUAUUGAUGUGAAUUGUUGGUGACAUUUGGUUGUUUGAUGUUGCUAUGCAUGAUUUGUGAAUGUUCAUUAUUCUUAAUUGGUGGAUUGCAUACUGAAAUAGGUUAACUACAUCGAGAGAUAAAAAUUCGUUAUUUGGGGGCGAAAAUUGAAAAUUGAUAAAAAGCAAGCGUUAGUUGAUUUGCUUCAUUGAUGUUGUUGAAUGUGAUAGUAUAGUGAUAGGUCGAGUUGGGUAGGAAAACAAUAGGCUUGGGUAGGUAAAUUUAGAACUUGUGGAUUGUGGAAUGUCUAGAAUAUUUCCUGAAUGGAUUUGUUUAUUGCAUUUGGAUAAAUUGUACUCAAUUGGCCGGAGAAUGCCCCGAGACACAUUGUACUUAUUCACCAGGGAAUGUCUCGAAAUAUCAAGUAUGCAAAGGAGGCUCGCGAUCAAGGCUCGAGGCAUCGGGUAAAGCAUAGUAUAGGACAGUUAGAAUAAUAUAGAUUUUAAUUUCAGAAUUUUUACUUCGGUUUGUAACAAAUUGGACUGGACACUAUUUUUUAUACUUUUGAGUGUUUGAUUGUUUAUUUUGUUUUGUGUGUUUUAUGUGAUUUACUUCAUAGGGUCAGACUAGUCGAUAUUACUCCAAGAGCGACCGUAGUCGAACCACGAAAUCGAGGGAUGCCUAACACCUUCCCCUCGGUCAAUAGAAUUUCUUAAUCAAAAUUUCUGUUCGCGGAUCAGUUUCUAAGAGUCAAAAAUCAUUUUUGAAAAAAAAUUUUCAAAGGUAACUUGGCACACCCGAUUUUGUCAAGUGGCGACUUUAAAAUUUUAUUGUUAAAUAUCCUUUUCGGAACAAAUUAUUUUCUUUUGUCACUUAAUAAUAAAACUCUUUCAAACUUGAAAUCAAUCUUUUGAGUAAAAAAGAGGUGUGACAUCUCUGGCGACUCUGCUGAGGAUUUUCAGAAUUCAAACUUUAUUUUUUAGUUGUAUCGGUUUAGUGUGGCACUAUAGGUGUACAGACAUUUUGAGUGUGAUAUUAUUUUAUCAUUGUUGUGCGCUUACGUGCUACGUGUUUACAGGUUUUCUUUUAUGUGUUACCGCUUUAUAUCUGAUAUCAUAUGCAUUACCCCUAGUCAAUUCUUUUGCAACAAGUAUCAGAGUACACGUCGUGUAUACGAACUCUAGUUGAGUCACCCUUAUUUUAGGAGGGAGAGCCGUCAGAUAUAUGGAGUAGGUGGAAAACAAUCGCUGCUACUAUCAAUCAUAUGCGCUCCCCGAACAGUCUUGUUAGUGGAUCCCAGCCUAGGUCAGUCUUUAGGUCAUGCUUAUUUAUAAAAUAUUGAGACCUAACGGGACCCAUUUGGUCCUUUAUAGGAGGCUCACCCCUAAAGCAUCCCUACAUGCUAAUUGUUGCAUCUUUGAGGGUAAUAGAGUCAUUUGAUGCACCGAUUUGGGAAAAACAUAUGCAGAAAUUAAAGGAAGGCAGAUGUUUAGGUAAGGAAAAAUUUGAAAAAAGGAAAAAAGAAGAGAAAAAGUGAGUCAGAAAAGAGUUUCGUAGUUUUUCUUUUUAGAGUUCUUUAUGAUUUUUGUUUUUCACCAUCCAAAAAAAUUCAAAAAUAUUUUUUUACCAUUCAAAUUCAUUUGUCAAAAACAAAAACAUCAAAAAGGUUUUCCUUUUGUUUCUCUAGUAAGCAUUCAUAAUUCAAAAUUUUCAAAAAAAGAUUUUUCCUUCAUAGGAGCUUUUUAUAAAAGAAAAUUCAACAAUGGUAGAAGUUUUGUACUUUUCGUGUUAGUUUUAUGUGAUGUGUCAAAUUAAAAUCCAAAAUUUUUUUUAUUAACGUUUUUCAUUUUGUCUUUGGUCGUGUCUCUUAAGUCAAGGUUCAGUUUGUUAUUUAAUCCUUAAUUGUCCAGUCUAACGAACUACACACUUCUGAUUCUCCUCUCUCGGGAGUGAGAUACGUAGGAUGCCCUUCUUGGGAUCAGUGAUCUUAUUUUAAAAAAAAUUCAAAAAAAAUUUCUUCACUCUUUAUUUAGAGUAGAUGUUUUUAUAUACAUCUUUAAAAGAAAAUCACAAAAGUCUUUUUCUUUAAUAGCUUCAAGUUUCACUUUCAUAUGAAAUUAAAAAUCGAAACCCCAAAAAAAA
rnacentral:lncRNA from 1 species